GCGGGAGUGGCGGAACGGUAGACGCAGCGGUUUUAAACUCCGUGGCCUCGGCGUGAGGGUUCGAGUCCCUCCUCCCGUA
rnacentral:tRNA from 1 species